rnacentral:rRNA from 1 species
GACGGAGGAGGCAAGCGUUAUCCGGAAUCAUUGGGCGUAAAGCGUCCGUAGGUGGCUUUGUAAGUCUGCGGUUAAAGCCUGGGGCCCAACCCCAGAUCAGCCGUGGAAACUGUGAGGCUAGAGUGCGGUAGGGGUAGCGGGAAUUCCCGGUGUAGCGGUGAAAUGCGUAGAUAUCGGGAAGAACACCAGCGGCGGAAGCGCGCUACUGGGCCUGCACUGACACUGAGGGACGAAAGCUAGGGGAGCGAAUGGG